ACGGGAGGCAGCAGUGGGGAAUAUUGGACAAUGGGGGAAACCCUGAUCCAGCGACGCCGCGUGAGUGAAGAAGUAUUUCGGUAUGUAAAGCUCUAUCAGCAAGGAAGAAAAUGGCGGUACUUGACUAAGAAGCCCCGGCUAACUACGUGCCAGCAGCCGCGGUAAUACGUAGGGGGCAAGCGUUAUCCGGAUUUACUGGGUGUAAAGGGAGCGUAGACGGCAAAGCAAGUCUGAAGUGAAAUCCCGGGGCUCAACCCUGGAACUGCUUUGGAAACUGUUUAGCUAGAGUGCAGGAGAGGUAAGUGGAAUUCCUAGUGUGGCGGUGAAAUGCGUAGAUAUUAGGAGGAACACCAGUGGCGAAGGCGGCUUACUAGACUGUAACUGACGUUGAGGCUCGAAAGCGUGGGGAGCAAACAGGAUUAGAUACCCUGGUA
rnacentral:rRNA from 1 species